rnacentral:rRNA from 1 species
UACGUAGGGUGCGAGCGUUAAUCGGAAUUACUGGGCGUAAAGGCGCGUAGGCGGCCUUCUAAGUCAGACGUGGAAAUCCCCAGGCUUAACUUGGGAACUGCGUCUGAUACUGGGAGGCUUGAGUGCGGCAGAGGGGGAUGGAAUUCCGCGUGUAGCAGUGAAAUGCGUAGAUAUGCGGGAGGAACACCGAUGGCGAAGGCAUCCCCUGGGCCUGCACUGACGCUCAUGCACGAA